rnacentral:tRNA from 1 species
GGAGGUACAGCUCAGUGGUAGAGCGCAUGCUUAACACGCACAAGGUCCUGGAUUCAAUCCCAAUAUCUCCA